GGUAACAGGAAGCAGCUUGCUGCUUUGCUGACGAGUGGCGGACGGGUGAGUAAUGUCUGGGAAACUGCCUGAUGGAGGGGGAUAACUACUGGAAACGGUGGCUAAUACCGCAUAACGUCGCAAGACCAAAGAGGGGGACCUUCGGGCCUCUUGCCAUCAGAUGUGCCCAGAUGGGAUUAGCUUGUUGGUGAGGUAACGGCUCACCAAGGCGACGAUCCCUAGCUGGUCUGAGAGGAUGACCAGCCACACUGGAACUGAGACACGGUCCAGACUCCUACGGGAGGCAGCAGUGGGGAAUAUUGCACAAUGGGCGCAAGCCUGAUGCAGCCAUGCCGCGUGUAUGAAGAAGGCCUUCGGGUUGUAAAGUACUUUCAGCGGGGAGGAAGGUGUUGUGGUUAAUAACCGCAGCAAUUGACGUUACCCGCAGAAGAAGCACCGGCUAACUCCGUGCCAGCAGCCGCGGUAAUACGGAGGGUGCAAGCGUUAAUCGGAAUUACUGGGCGUAAAGCGCACGCAGGCGGUCUGUCAAGUCGGAUGUGAAAUCCCCGGGCUCAACCUGGGAACUGCAUUCGAAACUGGCAGGCUUGAGUCUUGUAGAGGGGGGUAGAAUUCCAGGUGUAGCGGUGAAAUGCGUAGAGAUCUGGAGGAAUACCGGUGGCGAAGGCGGCCCCCUGGACAAAGACUGACGCUCAGGUGCGAAAGCGUGGGGAGCAAACAGGAUUAGAUACCCUGGUAGUCCACGCCGUAAACGAUGUCUACUUGGAGGUUGUGCCCUUGAGGCGUGGCUUCCGGAGCUAACGCGUUAAGUAGACCGCCUGGGGAGUACGGCCGCAAGGUUAAAACUCAAAUGAAUUGACGGGGGCCCGCACAAGCGGUGGAGCAUGUGGUUUAAUUCGAUGCAACGCGAAGAACCUUACCUGGUCUUGACAUCCACAGAACUUUCCAGAGAUGGAUUGGUGCCUUCGGGAACUGUGAGACAGGUGCUGCAUGGCUGUCGUCAGCUCGUGUUGUGAAAUGUUGGGUUAAGUCCCGCAACGAGCGCAACCCUUAUCCUUUGUUGCCAGCGGUCCGGCCGGGAACUCAAAGGAGACUGCCAGUGAUAAACUGGAGGAAGGUGGGGAUGACGUCA
rnacentral:rRNA from 1 species